CACAUAAGGGAACGAUUUCGUUCCCCUACGCUUCACUUCGCUCUCUCUCUGUCUCCCCGCGAUUGGGGCUUCGAAACCCUAAGCCGCUCUUUCAGAAAUAAGAUUUAUGGCUUUGCACUGUUUUGGCCUUUCGAAGGACCACAUGUUCUGAUUCGGAUGUCGUUUCAUAGCUGGCUGUACGAUUCUAAUCCUUUCGACGCAGAGGAAGUCGCAAUGUUUGUAGUACAGAAAUUUGCAUGGUUUUAGCCACAUUGUAACAUAUGGGAGACAAUAGGAGAAUGGCAGAUGGAAUUUCAAGUUUCUGGGGUCCUGUCACAUCCUCCACUGAAUGGUGUGAAAAGAACUAUGCGUACUCUUCCUAUAUUGCAGAAUUCUACAACACUAUAUCCAACAUCCCAUGCGUUAUUUUGGCACUAAUAGGCUUAAUAAAUGCCUUAAGACAGCAUUUUGAGAAGAGAUUGAGCAUUCUUCACCUAUCAAAUAUGAUACUAGCUAUUGGGAGCAUGCUAUUCCAUGCCACAUUGCAACACAUGCAACAACAAAGCGACGAAACUCCAAUGGUCUGGGAAAUGCUCCUGUACCUUUAUAUCCUAUACUCCCCUGAUUGGCACUAUCGUAGUACAAUGCCCACCUUCUUCUUCCUCUAUGGGGCUAUUUUUGCAAUUUUUCAUUCACAGGUCCGUUUUAGCACUGGUUUCAAGGUUCAUUAUGCAAUCCUCUGCCUGCUGUGCAUCCCAAGGAUGUACAAGUAUUACAUUUACACACAGAAUGUCUCUGCUAAGCGGGUUGCAAAGUUGUAUGUGAUCACCCUAUUCCUUGGUAGUUUGUGUUGGCUGUUUGAUCGUGUACUCUGCAGGAAAGUGUCACAUUGGCCCUUCAAUCCUCAAGGCCACGCAUUGUGGCAUAUUUUCAUGGGUUUUAACUCAUACUUCGCAAACAUAUUCUUGAUGUAUUGCCGUGCUCAGCAACGGGAAUGGGCACCAAGGAUUGUCUAUUUUUUGGGGGUUCUUCCUUAUGUGAAGGUCCAGAAACCAAAAUCCCUGUGAAAAAUAGGUUACAGGGGUCAAGGAUAGUCUUUUCACAGUUAUUGGGGUAUUGAAGAGAUCUUAGGCGACAGAACAAGCAGGCAAGCAAUCAUUUUUGUUUUCAUCUGAUUAGAUUCAGUCAUAUUCAUUGGGUACUGCUUACUGUUGCUUCUGGAGUUGCUUAUAUCACACUGGUAAAUUGGGAUAUGCGAAUAUUUGCUUUUUGCAUAUAGUUUACUGUGAGCAUAAGCUGCUGCAACAUAUAUGGGUUCAGUUUAUCGCAUGCAAUACUAGUAAAUUUAUGAGGUAUAUGUGGGUAAUCUGGGUUCUUUUUCCAUCCCAAGUGUGUAGUUAAGAGCAGUAGUGUUUGGAUGACAACAAUAUUGAAAUGGGUCCUUUACAACCAUUAAAGAUAAGUAGGGCCCGCUGUUGCAUUCAUGUUUGUUGGGCUUGAAAUGUAGGAUUGGGCUGGGACACUCUCAUGCCCAAUAUAGUUAACAAGAAUUUUUUAAUGAAGCGACCAAUUUAUUUUACAUAUUUAACACAUA